AAGUCGUAACAAGGUUUCCGUAGGUGAACCUGCGGAAGGAUCAUUACCGAGUUAGGGUGCUCUUCGUGCCCGACCUCCAACCCUUUGUCUACCUGACCAGAUGUUGCUUCGGCAGGCCCGCCGCCCCGCGAGGGGCAGCCGCCGGGGGUCCUUACCGGCCCCGGGUCCGUGCCUGUCGAUGGCCCUUCUAAAACUCUUGCUUAAACGUGUCGUCUGAGUAAAACAAACAAAAUAAAAACAAAACUUUCAACAACGGAUCUCUUGGUUCUG
rnacentral:misc_RNA from 1 species